rnacentral:rRNA from 1 species
UACGUAGGGGGCAAGCGUUAUCCGGAUUUACUGGGUGUAAAGGGGGCGCAGACGGCAAUGCAAGUCUGAAGUGAAAUCCCGCGGCUCAACUGCGGAACUGCUUUGGAAACUGUAUAGCUUGAGUAUCGGAGGGGUAAGCGGAAUUCCUGGUGUAGCGGUGAAAUGCGUAGAUAUCAGGAGGAACACCGGUGGCGAAGGCGGCUUACUGGACGAUAACUGACGUUGAGGCCCGAAAGCGUGGGGAG